GAUGAACGCUGGCGGCGUGCCUAAUACAUGCAAGUCGAGCGAAGCGGGGACGGUUGAGUAACACGUGGAGACCCUCCUAUACGACUGGGAUAGUUCCGGGAAACCGGAGCUAAACGGGAUACUCAUAGUUGGAUAAGCGCUGCAUUAGCUAGUUGGUAAGGUAACGGCGUACCAGGGCAACGAUGAAUAGACGACCUGCGAGCGUGAUCGUCCACACUGGGACUGAGACACGGUCCAGACUCCUACGGGAGGCAGCAGUAGGGAAUCUGCCGUAAUGGGCGAAAGCCUGACGGAGCAACGCCGCGUGAGUGAGGAAGGUCUUCGGAUCGUAAAACUCUGUUAUUAGGGAAGCGUUAUCUAAUCAGAGAGCCACGGCUAACUACGUGCCAGCAGCCGCGGUAAUAC
rnacentral:rRNA from 1 species